CGCCACUUCCUUUUGGUCUUGUUUUGCUUAAUUGCAAGGAUUCUGCACUUGAAGGUGAAUUACUUACCUUUGGGCAAUACAGCAGGAAGGAAGCACACCUCCCCAUGGCUGCUCCAAAGAACCGCUGCUGUGAAAGUGACAGCGUUGAAUUCAAUGCCACAUACUUUGCUAUAUCAAAAUUGCCUUAAUGUGUCUGGAAAUCCUACACCAAAUGCUGCAAAGAGAAACAAAGGACUGUUGUGCUCCACCACAGCAACGUUCUCUAAAGACAACAGGGCAGAACGACCUGUCAGCAACGCCAGCACCUUCAGAUGCGGUGCCUGAACACUGGGAUCCUACAGGGAUACACAGAUCGCCAUGAGGAGAGAUGUGCUGGCUGGAAAAGCCGUGUCCCUCCAUGAACUGAGGGGCUCUGUUCUACAGGAGCACAGCUUGAGCACUUCUGUUCUGAGGACACUGAGCUCCACGCUGGCACUGGUGCUCUGCAUUACGGACAGCACUAAACAAGGAAGGCUGUGCUGCAUGCUACGUGAAGGGGCCAGACCCGGCCUGCUGCCACUCAUCUGCCUCCUGACAAUGGUCUUGCUAUCGAUCCUUCGUGGGGAAAUGUGUGUGCCCAUGACAAAUGGUUACUAAAAUGAUCCACUGCAUCAGACCACAAAAUCGCUAUUCAGUUAUAAACUUUGCAAUCUGUUUUACAAAAUUAGUAAUGGAUACAAUCAUAAGGAGAAACCAUCCACACGAUACAUUAUCAACACACGGUUUAAAACGGUCUAAUUUCAGACCCUUAGUAAAAACGGAUCCACAGGACCUGCCUGUGAAUGGCAAGAAAAGGCCAUUUCAAAUAGAAAAACACUGCUCAUGCAACAUUCUUCACACACAAGACAAUGAAAUCACACCCAAAUAGUCGCCUGCUCACACUUUCUAUUACAU
rnacentral:lncRNA from 1 species